rnacentral:rRNA from 1 species
CAUUAAAGAAUCAAAGGUGGCCCCUACCAUGUAAGCUACUGUUUGGAGAUGAGCCCGCGUGCCAUUAGCUUGUUGGUAGGGUAAUGGCCUACCAAGGCUACGAUGGCUAGCUGGUCUGAGAGGAUGAUCAGCCACACUGGAACUGACACACGGUCCAG